rnacentral:rRNA from 1 species
AGUGAACGCUGGCGGUAGGCCUAACACAUGCAAGUCGAACGGCAGCACAGUAAGAGCUUGCUCUUACGGGUGGCGAGUGGCGUACGGGUGAGGAAUACAUCGGAAUCUACUUUUUCGUGGGGGAUAACGUAGGGAAACUUACGCUAAUACCGCAUACGACCUACGGUUGAAAGCAGGGGAUCUUCGGACCUUGCGCGAUUGAAUGAGCCGAUGUCGGAUUUGCUAGUUGGCGGGGUAAAGGCCCACCAAGGCGACGAUCCGUAGCUGGUCUGAGAGGAUGGUCAGCCACACUGGAACUGAGACACGGACCAGACUCCUACGGGAGGCAGCAGUGGGGAAUAUUGGACAAUGGGCGCAAGCCUGAUCCAGCCAUACCGCGUGGGUGAAGAAGGCCUUCGGGUUGUAAAGCCCUUUUGUUGGGAAAGAAAAGCAGCAGGUUAAUACCCCGCUGUUCUGACGGUACCGAAAGAAUAAGCACCGGCUAACUUCGUG